rnacentral:rRNA from 1 species
AAGUCGUAACAAGGUUUCCGUAGGUGAACCUGCGGAAGGAUCAUUAAAGAGACGUUGCCCUUCGGGGUAUACCUCCCACCCUUUGUUUAUUUAUACCUUUGUUGCUUUGGCAGACCCGGCUUCGGCCCACCGGCUCCGGCUGGUCAGUGUCUGCCAGAGGACCUAAAACUCUGUUUGUUAAUAUUGUCUGAGUACUAUAUAAUAGUUAAAACUUUCAACAACGGAUCUCUUGGUUCUGGCAUCGAUGAAGAACGCAGCGAAAUGCGAUAAGUAAUGUGAAUUGCAGAAUUCAGUGAAUCAUCGAAUCUUUGAACGCACAUUGCGCCCCCUGGUAUUCCGGGGGGCAUGCCUGUUCGAGCGUCAUUUAUACCAAUCUAGCCCGGCUAGGUGUUGGGCUUCGCCGUCUGGCGGGCCUUAAAAUCAGUGGCGGUGCUUCCAGGCUCUACGCGUAGUAAUUUUCUCGCUAUAGGGUCCUGGGAGACGCUGGCCAACAACCCCAAAUUUUCUAUGGUUGACCUCGGAUCAGGUAGGGAUACCCGCUGAACUUAA